AAAGUCUAAACAAAAAGUAAGGUUUUCUCCCGCAGUACAGCCAAAGCAUUGCAAUGUCCUUCUGUUUGUACUUAGUCCAAUAAAUGUGUGGGUUUUUUUCCCACAAGUACUGACCCAAUGAAUACUGUACAAUGUUUUUUGGGUUUUGUUGGACUGACCAAUGACUUUUAACCUUUAGUAACCAAGAUAGCGAAAGAAGAUCCACAAAUAGGC